rnacentral:lncRNA from 1 species
GCGGUGACGCUGAGCAGCAGGCGCCAUCAGCUAGUGCGCUGUGUGGCUGGACUGUGCUGCUUGGUAGGUGAAAGGCACCCUUGACUAGGUGUUUUCAACUCAGGGUGGUUUGGGGUGAGCGAGGCAGCCCCUGCAGCCCCUUGGCAGUGUGCGUUUCUCCACCAGGUGAUCGUGUCCUCAUGAAGAGCUGGUCCCGAGCCCUCUCCCACACUGCUAGAGGAGAUGCCUGGAUUAGAGUAAAGCAAACUGACCGUGCGUUUGGAUGAGAUGUACCUGGGGAAUCGCUUGUAUUGCGUCUGAGCAGAGAGGAAACUGCCUUCGUUGGUCCCAGGGGGUGCUGCUAGUUAAUGACAGAUUCCCGGCCCUGCAAGCCAACCUACGUUCCCUCUGCCUUUAAUGUGCCUCUUUCCCGUCCCUCUUCCUCAGCCUCUCCCUCUUCAGCCUGGCACACAGCCGCAACGGCAUGACUCCUCCUGUGGGACACAUACUGAGUAGACUCCAAGGUACAUCUGUCUUGGGGGCCAGUGUCAUCGACUUAAGAUGCUGGCACGGGCCACCUGGUCUGGAGGGAGACCAAAGAGGACAGUGAAUGAAUGAUGUGGGAAGGUCUCUUCCUGCUCCUGGGAAGUAGCUCACGGUGACCCCACUGUGAGCCAGUAGCACCAUUUUCAGAUCAAACAAAUACAAGUUACCGAGGGAACUGAUUUGUGGUUUCCCCCAGGUGUGAAAACAGUCAAGCCUUGUAGACCUUUCUGCAUAUUUUUUCUUUCAUUAUCUAUUUUUACUGCCUGGGGUAGAUCACUGUUUCUCAAA